AAGUCGUAACAAGGUCUCCGUUGGUGAACCAGCGGAGGGAUCAUUACCGAGUGUUACUGCUCACAACCCUCUGUGAACCUACUUUUUGUUGCUUCGGCGGCCCGUCCAGGCGGGCCCGCCGGUGGAUUUUACACUCUAGCUCGCGUCCGACGUCCCCUCUGAGUGUUUAAACAAACUAUUAAAACUUUCAACAACGGAUCUCUUGGUUCUGGCAUCGAUGAAGAACGCAGCGAAACGCGAUAUGUAAUGUGAAUUGCAGAAUUCAGUGAAUCAUCGAAUCUUUGAACGCACAUGGCGCCCGCUAGUAUCCUGGCGGGCAUGCCUGUCCGAGCGUCGUUUCAACCCCUCGAGCCCGUUCGCGGUUCGGCGUUGGGGAUCUACGCCCCGCCGUAGGCCCUGAAAAUUAGCGGCGGACCCGUCGCGGCCCACCCUUGCGCAGUAAUCAACGACCUCGCAUCGGUGGCCGGCGGGUUGCCAGCCCAGACUAUCAAAGCCCGUCCCCGCGGCGGCACCAAGGUUGACCUCGGACCAGGUAGGAAUACCCGCUGAACUUAAGCAUAUCAAUAAGCGGAGGAAAAGAAACCAACAGGGAUUGCCCCAGUAACGGCGAGUGAAGCGGCAACAGCUCAAAUUUGAAAUCUGGCCCCCAGGGUCCGAGUUGUAAUUUGCAGAGGAUGCCUCGGGUGCGGGUGCCUUCCGAGUUCCCUGGAACGGGACGCCACAGAGGGUGAGAGCCCCGUAUGGUCGGAUGCCCAGCCCGUGUGAGGCUCCCUCGACGAGUCGAGUAGUUUGGGAAUGCUGCUCUAAGGGGAGGUAUACUCCUUCCAAAGCUAAAUAUUGGCCAGAGACCGAUAGCGCACAAGUAGAGUGAUCGAAAGAUGAAAAGCACUUUGAAAAGAGAGUCAAAUAGCACGUGAAAUUGUUGAAAGGGAAGCGCUCGCGACCAGACUUGAGCUCGGCGGAUCACCCGGCGCCUCGCGCCGGGGCACUCCGCCGGCCCAGGCCAGCAUCAGCUCCCCGUCGGGUUCAAAGGCGGCGGGAACGUGGCUCCCCUCCGGGGGAGUGUUAUAGCCCGCCGCGCCAUGCCCCUCGGGGGGCUGAGGUACGCGCUCCGCAAGGAUGCUGGCGUAAUGGUCGCUAGCGACC
rnacentral:rRNA from 1 species